GCCAGUGUGGCUUGGUGGUUUGCGUGUUGGACUCCAGCUCUGGAGACCAAGGUUCAAUUCCCUGCUUGGCC